UACUCUGGUAUCUCUUCAUAUCAUAUAAAUCUUUUGCCUUUUACUAAAGAUUUCAGUGGAGAGGACAAAAAAAAAAAAAAAAAAAAAAAUGCUGUAGAAUAGCACUCAAGACCUUC